rnacentral:lncRNA from 1 species
UCUAAGCCACAAAGCCACGACUUUUUUUAGCUGUUUUAUCAUUUUUCCUGUGAUUCCAGCAACCAUAUCCUUUGAGUGAGGUAUGAAACUUCAUCUACUCUUCAUAAUCUUCAAGUUGGUAUGCUUGGUUCGUGCUUUCGUAUUCAAUUUAGAGUUAGGUGUUUAGAACCCUAGAAAUAUGGUUUUUCUUCGGUGAAUUUGGACGGUUUCCGAUUAGAAUUUAUCAUCGACCUAGUUGUGAAAAGUGUUUCUCUUAUUGAGCUAUAGCUACCACGUAAAUUUAAGCUCAUUUAGUUAAUGUUGAAAAUUCAAGUUUUCUAAAUCCUCCACCUUGGCUACCACGACGUGUGGUGGUGCGGAC